UGUUAAAAGAAACAAUAUGACUUACAGUGUUUUUACAGCAGCAUUUAAAAGCAGAGAAAGAUUUAAGUAUAACAUUAUUAAAACACAAAUAAUAUUAUAUAUUAACUAAAUCCACACCAGACAAACAAAUUGCUACAUGUUCAUAAUUUGCUUCUGCUCAGUAAGAGAAGAGAGGGAACCUCUGCUUGCAACUACUUUCAAGAUCGUUUGAUCAGCCACCAUCCACAACCAGUGACUAACAAAUUUAAAAUCCUGGUUUUGACAAGUUUUAACUGCUUUAUAACGGUAUACAUGACAGAUCGAUAUAAGAUUCAAAACAAUGUCCGUUUAAGAGACUGUUUGUUCUAUGAAUAACUGCCAAUCUUUGAUCUUUUACUGUGUUCACAGUUCCAGAAAACUAUUGCUGUACAUUAGUUCACCUAACAAGCUAUUCAUUGUCAAAGGAGCACGUCAAUAUAAGUAGGCAGGUUAUUGGGCUUAAGUUUUCGAUUAUUCCUAAACAGUUUGUUUCAGUUUGGGAAGCAUGCCCUGGACAGCAUGGUUUUGAAGCCAAUUUUACUUUAAUCGGUCUGCUUCUUUGUCCCUAAGUGCUCUAUGAAAUUUCUGCAGUUUCUCUAAAUAAACAGUGAAAAGAUGGAAUUUAAGCAAUUUGCUGAAAAAUAACUACAAAUUGUGUUCAAACAUUUUGCAUGGCAAACCAUGACACAUAGGACAUGCUGUUGUAGUUCGCGUAUGCACAAUAGGAAAUUGAGUGAUUGCAAGCAUAGGUUCCCUCUCAACUCUCACUAAGCAGAAAGAGAAGGGAAUCUCUGUCUCACAGAGUGUAUAAUUUGGAACAUCGGUGGAUAUUUUUAAUCAUACAUAUUACUUUUAGUAAAAACAACAUCUGGCCAUACAAUGCUUGCCCUCUGGCAAACAUUUUCUCUGUAAAAAUUGGCAAGUUUGGGGUGUCAUAUUUUCACGAGUUUGCAAAGGAUUCACAUGAAACUUUGAAUCUAUACUAAUUAAAUUCAGUAUGUUUGAAUGAAGAAAUCAUAAAAGUACAGAAAGGUCCAUUAGAUAUAGCUCCUUUCCUGUUUCUAGGAGCCCAAGUCUAAGCAAAAGAGUCUUAAAAUAGUCUGGCCGGAAAACCUAAUUUAUUCUCAAAAAAGACAGUGCUUACUGAUGAAAAAAACAAUUUUGUACAAACUGUACAAAUUUAAGCUUAAAGCAUGGGUCGCACUAGAGUGAAUUUUAUUUUUUGGUCAGUCCUAAAGACCCAAAAAUAUUGGCACGGACCAAUUUUUUUUGGGUUCGUUUUCUGGUUGCACAUGAAGCCACAUGACAAGGCUUAAUUCUUGUGUAAACACUGAUAAAACGCUUUUGUAAACAAUGACGCUUUCCCGUAAAGGCAUACUGUCCAGCAAUUUUCUUAAAUAAACACGCAGUUAAAAUGUUUAAUGAAUUUUUGUUUUCUUUGGGUGAUUUUGGAAAAAUCUGCCUGCCCCACCCAUACACUACGGUGUCUUUGAUCUUUUUGGUCGACUGACAAAUUUUUCCAAAUUUUGCUCAUAGGGGUCGCAUUAGGAAAAGGUUGAAUUUUGGCCCAAUUUUUGGUAAAACAAACAGAAUUCGCUCUAGUGCGACCCAUGCCUCACUUACGACUACUAUUUUCAUUUUUAAUUCCUUGUGAUUAAAUAUAGUACAUUUUGUAAUAUUUUCAUAAGAGGAUUUUAACAUAUUGGAGACUAAAAGGUCAAUAUUUACAAAUAAAACAUGAAUAUCACUUAUAAUAAAUAUCAUCUGCCGAGAACUAUGGUUUCAAUGUUUACACAAGAUGAGACUAGUGUGGUAUAGGCACUCACAUGUAGUACCUGGCAAAUAAGAUAAAUAAAUCUUUGUUAAUCUUCAUAACUAGAAGACAGGAAAAUCCUAUGCAAAUUUAAAAUGAUGGUUGCAGUGGGUUGUGAGCUGGUGCUUAUAAGUAGAAACCAAUUGAAAGAUCCUUGAUUUUAGCCAUAAAUACUACAAGGUCUGAACGAAGAUACGGGAAAGCAAUAUUUACACCAUCAGCCCUGGCCUCUUUCUCUGGGGAAAGCUAGACCCUGGAUACGACGAUCAAAGUCGAAUUCGCGAAGCUUUUGAAAAUUGUCACCUUGGUCACGAAAACUUAUCACGCUAUUUCAACUCACCAUGAACGCAAUAACGUCAUAUCCUUGUUCUUGGAGCCAAAGCAAGAUACAAGAUGUAUCAAGGCCCCCGCUGUAGGCUAAAACCACGGUCUUCUUGUCUGCAGACAUUUUCACUUCACCCUUUCCACUUCGAUCGACAGUACGAUAUAUGGUGAAAUGUAUUCCUCGUGCCUUGUUCGAGUUUUUAUUGGUUAGCUUAAGAAGGAACGCUUCUGAUUGGCUGGUGGCACUUUGGUGUUUCAGCUGAACUGUCAUCAGUCAUCAGUCAUCAGUCAUCAGUCAAGGAAUGAAUUUAUUCCCUGUACAAUAAGGUUGUUCGAAAUCAACUUCCGUGAAAAGCUGAAACACUUUGAGUUCCUCCUCUAGAGAAUCUAAAGCCUCAAAAACAUACUUAUUGUUAACAUCUCACAAGCUGAGACACACAUUAAUGAACUUUCCAAUUCACACGUUUUGAAAUAUUCAUACCCAGUAGUUAUUGGCCAACGAAUCGAAUGACCUUAUGACCAAAGCUUGCCGCAGAAGGACAUGAACAGAACUGAUAACAAAGAGUGAUUACUCAGGUCUUAUGAAUUACAGAUAUGUUAAAUUACACUCAAACGUAUUUUCAAUGGCAAUUUUAGAGGCAUAUCCCAUUUUUAUCCCCUUUUUAAGCCUUGUAUUAAGAUUUUAUUUAUUCAAACUUUAAUGUUUCUUUUUGCGAUCUUUCCAUUGCCAAAUCAUGUAUUUUCCGACAACUAGUUUCAGCGCCCCAAGAAGCGACGGGAAGAGGAAUUAAUAAGUUUUCCGCAAAUGAAGGUUAGCUCAAGUUUUGAUUUGUUUUCAUUUCGCACAAUUGAAGCGUGACAAGAAUAUUAAGUGUUUGUCAUUUCUUCGUUCAAGCAUUCAUUUAAUAUAUUGAUUCCUAGCUUUCCGGAAAAGUGCAUUUUGUGUUCCUUAAUUUCCAAUUAACGUAGGAAGCUAAACCACUGAACCAAGAGGUAAUCACGAACUAGUUUUAAUCAAAAAUUGUUAAACCACAGAAAUACAAAGUUUUAGAAAUCAGAUUUUACAUGAUAAACAUCGCGGACUUGUUGUGGCAUUUUUUACUAAGUGAUCCAUAUGGAAUUACUGUUGUCACCAUACAAUAAAAUUGAGCAUCCAUUGGUCUUUCCUUUUGUCAUGAUCAGUUACAAUAAAUUUGUACGCUGCUGGCCAUGUGAAUCAAAAUCUAUACGGAGCAGAUGUUUUUCAAUAUUUACCGAGCCAAUCUGUUCCUUGCAUUGACAAUCGUUAUUAUUUUCUUAGAAUUACGGCACCUUUCUGUCUAAAUUGUUUAGUUUACAUACCUCUUAUAGCCUUACUAAUCGAAUUCGAGGUCCGUAUUUUAAGUUACGAACCGAUUUUUUCCCCAAGGCUCCGUAACUUAAAGUACGGGCCGAGAAGACUAGGUGAGUAAGUUAGUUAUUUAUUACAUCUCUGCUGUGUGUCUGCCGGGUUCGGGAAACGAUUUCUACUCACGCGGAACCACUUCAAGUGACUGACACACGUCGAAAGCAAUACGAUGUUAAUUCGAAAUCGUACGUACACAAUUAAAGAAAACCAGGAAAUUAUUUUAACUUUUAUCUGGAAUUGCCACGAUUAAUAAGAACACGAGGUGAGAAAUCGGGCUGUAUAGUUCCGACAGCCGCCUCAAUUGACCAUUAAUUGUUUUCUUUGUUUUAAUUUGCACUCCAACAAGCGUGCAUGACAUUACUGCUUAGGCGUCGGUCAUUUCCGCGUUCCAGCAUACAAUGAUUGACCCCCAGUUUCAGGCAAUGUUUAUUUUCAGUAACUUCUAGUUAAUGUUCCUAUAUUUCUAACUAACAAAGGAAGUUUAACGAAAUGGUAACCACAAUCUUGAAAGAAAAUUCCGUGUAUGAGCGAGGUUAUACAAAAUAGCGUUAUCAAACAGCGGGUGUUGUUUUACUAAGAAAAAAAAAAAAAAA